rnacentral:rRNA from 1 species
CAGUCGCCGCGGGAAUACUUAGGUGGCAAGCGUUGUCCGGAAUUAUUGGGCGUAAAGGGCUCGCAGGCGGUUUCUUAAGUCUGAUGUGAAAGCCCCCGGCUCAACCGGGGAGGGUCAUUGGAAACUGGGAAACUUGAGUGCAGAAGAGGAGAGUGGAAUUCCACGUGUAGCGGUGAAAUGCGUAGAGAUGUGGAGGAACACCAGUGGCGAAGGCGACUCUCUGGCCUGUAACUGACGCUGAGGAGCGAAAGCGUGGGGAGCGAACAGGAUUAGAUACCCCAGUAGUCCCUGUCUCUUAUAC